rnacentral:rRNA from 1 species
AGAUGCGAUCAUACCAGCACUAAAGCACCGGAUCCCAUUAAAACUCUGAAGUUAAGGCGAGAGUAGUACUAAGAUGGGUGACCUCGUGGGAUGUCCUCGUAAAACUC